rnacentral:rRNA from 1 species
CAAGGUAAUUAUAGCACAAGGGUUCCACCUCUUCCCAUUCCGAACAGAGCAGUUAAACCUUGUAACGCUGAUGGUACUGCGUAAAAGUGGAAGAGUAAGUCGUUGCCUUGU